UACGUAGGGUGCGAGCGUUAAUCGGAAUUACUGGGCGUAAAGCGUGCGCAGGCGGCGCGUUAAGACAGGUGUGAAAGCCCCGAGCUUAACUUGGGAAUUGCGCUUGUGACUGGCGUGCUGGAGUGUGGCAGAGGGAGGUGGAGUUCCACGUGUAGCAGUGAAAUGCGUAGAGAUGUGGAGGAACACCGAUGGCGAAGGCAGCCCCCUGGGCUGAGAUUGACGCUCAGGCACGAAAGCGUGGGGAGCAAACAGG
rnacentral:rRNA from 1 species